GCCGGGUGUGGUGGCGCCUGGCUGUAGUCCGAGUUACUUGGGAGGCUGAGGUAGGAGGAUCGCUUGAGCCCAAGAGUUUUGGGUUUGUAGUGUGCUAUGCCGAUUGGGUGUCUGCAUUAAGUUUGGCAUCAAUAUGGUGACCUCCCGGGAGCGAGGGACCACCAGGUUGCCUAAGGAGGUUAGAAUCAGAGCAGGUCAAAACUCCCCUUCUGAUCAGUAGUGGGCCUGUGCCUGUGAAUAGCCACUGCACUCCAGCCUGGGCAACAUAGCGAGAUCCCGUCUCU
rnacentral:SRP_RNA from 1 species